GGGGGUACAGGCGGGGCCAGGGGCAGUGGAGGAGGCCUCUUUGGCAGUUCAGGUCUCACGCAGCAGUUGCUGCAAUGUCGACUUCUUAGCCGCAUCUUCCCACUUGAAGCAUAACUGAUUCCCGUGCGGAGUUACAACAUAGGACACAUGACCAAUGGACUUGAUUUGUACAAAAUGAGUCGAACAAAGUCAGAUAUGUACUUUAUAAAUAAAUAAAUUCUGGUAAUGUUUAA